rnacentral:snRNA from 1 species
AUGCUUGCUUUGGCAGCACAUAUACCAAAACUGGAAUGAUACAGAGAAGAUUAGCCUGGCCUCUGUGCAAUGAUGAUGCACAAAUUUGUGAAUCAUUCUGUAUUUUU